UGGGGAAUAUUGGACAAUGGGCGAAAGCCUGAUCCAGCCAUGCCGCGUGUGUGAAGAAGGUCUUCGGAUUGUAAAGCACUUUAAGUUGGGAGGAAGGGCAGUAAGCGAAUACCUUGCUGUUUUGACGUUACCGACAGAAUAAGCACCGGCUAACUCUGUGCCAGCAGCCGCGGUAAUACAGAGGGUGCAAGCGUUAAUCGGAUUUACUGGGCGUAAAGCGCGCGUAGGUGGUUCGUUAAGUUGAAUGUGAAAGCCCCGGGCUCAACCUGGGAACUGCAUCCAAAACUGGCGAGCUAGAGUAGGGCAGAGGGUGGUGGAAUUUCCUGUGUAGCGGAGAAAUGCGUAGAUAUAGGAAGGAACACCAGUGGCGAAGGCGACCACCUGGGCUCAUACUGACCCUGAGGUGCGAAAGCGUGGGGAGCAAACAGG
rnacentral:rRNA from 1 species